rnacentral:rRNA from 1 species
AUUGAACGCUGGCGGCAUGCUUUACACAUGCAAGUCGAACGGCAGCGCGGGCUUCGGCCUGGCGGCGAGUGGCGAACGGGUGAGUAAUACAUCGGAACGUGCCCAGUAGAGGGGGAUAGCUCGGCGAAAGCCGGAUUAAUACCGCAUACGACCUGAUGGUGAAAGCGGGGGAUCUUCGGACCUCGCGGUAUUGGCGCGGCCGAUGGCAGAUUAGCUAGUUGGUGGGGUAAAGGCCUACCAAGGCGACGAUCUGUAGCUGGUCUGAGAGGACGACCAGCCACACUGGGACUGAGACACGGCCCAGACUCCUACGGGAGGCAGCAGUGGGGAAUUUUGGACAAUGGGCGAAAGCCUGAUCCAGCAAUGCCGCGUGUGUGAUGAAGGCCUUCGGGUUGUAAAGCACUUUUGGCGGGAACGAAAAGGACUGUGCCAAUACCACGGUUCGAUGACGGUACCCGCAGAAUAAGCACCGGCUAACUACGUG